AUUGAACGCUGGCGGCAGGCCUAACACAUGCAAGUCGAACGGUAGCACAGAGAGCUUGCUCUCGGGUGACGAGUGGCGGACGGGUGAGUAAUGUCUGAGAAACUGCCCGAUGGAGGGGGAUAACUACUGGAAACGGUAGCUAAUACCGCAUAACGUCGCAAGACCAAAGUGGGGGACCCUCGGGCCUCACACCAUCGGAUGUGCCCAGAUGGGAUUAGCUAGUAGGUGGGGUAAUGGCUCACCUAGGCGACGAUCCCUAGCUGGUCUGAGAGGAUGACCAGCCACACUGGAACUGAGACACGGUCCAGACUCCUACGGGAGGCAGCAGUGGGGAAUAUUGCACAAUGGGCACAAGCCUGAUGCAGCCAUGCCGCGUGUAUGAAGAAGGCCUUCGGGUUGUAAAGUACUUUCAGCGGGGAGGAAGGCGGUGAAGUUAAUAACUUCACCGAUUGACGUUACCCGCAGAAGAAGCACCGGCUAACUCCGUGCCAGCCGCCGCCGUAA
rnacentral:rRNA from 1 species